GGCCCUGUGGCGCAACGGUAGCGCGUCUGACUCCAGAUCAGAAGGCUGC
rnacentral:tRNA from 1 species